UACGUAGGGUGCAAGCGUUAAUCGGAAUUACUGGGCGUAAAGCGUGCGCAGGCGGUUCUUUAAGUCUGUCGUGAAAUCCCCGGGCUUAACCUGGGAAUUGCGAUGGAGACUGCAAGGCUAGAAUCUGGCAGAGGGGGGUAGAAUUCCACGUGUAGCAGUGAAAUGCGUAGAGAUGUGGAGGAACACCGAUGGCGAAGGCAGCGCCCUGGGUCAAGAUUGACGCUCAUGCACGAAAGCGUGGGGAGCAAACAGG
rnacentral:rRNA from 1 species